AGAGCUUGCUCCUUUGACGUUAGCGGCGGACGGGUGAGUAACACGUGGAUAACCUACCUAUAAGACUGGGAUAACUUCGGGAAACCGGAGCUAAUACCGGAUAAGAUUUUGAACCGCAUGGUUCAAUAGUGAAAGACGGCCUUGCUGUCACUUAUAGAUGGAUCCGCGCCGUAUUAGCUAGUUGGUAAGGUAACGGCUUACCAAGGCAACGAUACGUAGCCGACCUGAGAGGGUGAUCGGCCACACUGGAACUGAAACACGGUCCAGACUCCUACGGGAGGCAGCAGUAGGGAAUCUUCCGCAAUGGGCGAAAGCCUGACGGAACAACGCCGCGUGAGUGAUGAAGGUCUUCGGAUCGUAAAACUCUUUUAUCAGGGAAGAACAAACGUGUAAGUAACUGUGCACGUCUUGACGGUACCUGAUCAAAAAGCCACGGCUAACUACGUGCCAGCAGCCGCGGUAAUAAGUAGUUGGCAAGCGUUAUCCGAAAUUAUUGGGCGUAAAGCGGGCGGAGGCGGUUUUUUAAAUCCGAUGUGAAAAACCCACGGUGUCAACCGUGCACGGUCAUUGGAAAACUGGAAAACUUUUAGUGGAAAAAAAAGAGAGGGGGAAAUUCCCUGUGAGAGCGGAGAAAAUGCGCGAUAGAUAUGGGAGGGAACACCCAGUGG
rnacentral:rRNA from 1 species